UACGUAGGGUGCAAGCGUUGUCCGGAAUUAUUGGGCGUAAAGAGCUCGUAGGCGGUUUGUCGCGUCUGCUGUGAAAACCGGAGGCUCAACCUCCGGCCUGCAGUGGGUACGGGCAGACUAGAGUGCGGUAGGGGAGAUUGGAAUUCCUGGUGUAGCGGUGGAAUGCGCAGAUAUCAGGAGGAACACCGAUGGCGAAGGCAGAUCUCUGGGACCGUAACUGACGCUGAGGAGCGAAAGCGUGGGGAGCGAACAGG
rnacentral:rRNA from 1 species